rnacentral:rRNA from 1 species
CCAAGUGUGUUAGUUAGGGGGGCGUGAGGCUUCACGGGCCGUCUUCUUAGCACGACAGUCGGUGACUAACCGAUGGAAGCUUGGCAAUAACAGGUCUGUGAUGCCCUUAGAUGUUCUGGGCCGCACGCGCGCUACACUGAUCAAGGCAGCGAGUUGCAGCUUUACCGGAAGGUAUGGCGAAGCUUUUGCAACUUGAUCGUGCUGGGGAUUGACCAUUGCAAUUAUUGGUCAUGAACGAGGAAUUCCUAGUAAGUGCGAGUCAACAGCUUGCGCUGAUUACGUCCCUGUCCUUUGUACACACCGCCCGUCGAUACUACCGAUUGAAUGGUUUAGUGAGGUUUUCGGAGACGCGCAAGGCGGCGAAAGCAGCGUUGCGGGGCGCAAAGAUGAGCAAACUUGGCCAUUUAGAGGAAGUAAAAGUCG